rnacentral:rRNA from 1 species
AACGCGAAGAACCUUACCUGGAUUUGACAUCCCUCUGAUCGUCUCUUAAUCGAGAUUUUCCCUUCGGGGACAGAGGAGACAGGUGGUGCAUGGUUGUCGUCAGCUCGUGUCGUGAGAUGUUGGGUUAAGUCCCGCAACGAGCGCAACCCUUGUCUUUAGUUGCCAUCAAGUAAAGUUGGGCACUCUAAAGAGACUGCCAAGGUAAACUUGGAGGAAGGUGGGGAUGACGUCAAAUCAUCAUGCCCUUUAUGUCCAGGGCUACACACGUGCUACAAUGGCCGAUACAACGGGCAGCUAAGGAGCAAUCCGGAGCAAAUCCUACAAAAUCGGUCCCAGUUCGGAUUGUGGGCUGAAAUUCGCCCACAUGAAGUCGGAGUUGCUAGUAAUCGCGAAUCAGCAUGUCGCGGUGAAUGCGUUCCCGGGCCUUGUACACACCG